rnacentral:rRNA from 1 species
GACGAACGCUGGCGGCGUGCCUAAUACAUGCAAGUAGAACGCUGAAGGAGGAGCUUGCUUCUCUGGAUGAGUUGCGAACGGGUGAGUAACGCGUAGGUAACCUGCCUGGUAGCGGGGGAUAACUAUUGGAAACGAUAGCUAAUACCGCAUAAUAGUAGAUGUUGCAUGACAUUUGCUUAAAAGGUGCAAUUGCAUCACUACCAGAUGGACCUGCGUUGUAUUAGCUAGUUGGUGGGGUAACGGCUCACCAAGGCGACGAUACAUAGCCGACCUGAGAGGGUGAUCGGCCACACUGGGACUGAGACACGGCCCAGACUCCUACGGGAGGCAGCAGUAGGGAAUCUUCGGCAAUGGACGGAAGUCUGACCGAGCAACGCCGCGUGAGUGAAGAAGGUUUUCGGAUCGUAAAGCUCUGUUGUAAGAGAAGAACGAGUGUGAGAAUGGAAAGUUCACACUGUGACGGUAUCUUACCAGAAAGGGACGGCUAACUACGUG